GAUGAACGCUGGCGGCGUGCUUAACACAUGCAAGUCGAACGAUGAAAGCGGGAGCUUGCUCCUGCUGGAUUAGUGGCGAACGGGUGAGUAACACGUGAGUAACCUGCCCUUGACUCUGGGAUAAGCGUUGGAAACGACGUCUAAUACCGGAUACGACCUUCGGAGGCAUCUCCUGGGGUGGAAAGAAUUCGGUCAAGGAUGGACUCGCGGCCUAUCAGCUAGUUGGUGAGGUAAUGGCUCACCAAGGCGACGACGGGUAGCCGGCCUGAGAGGGUGACCGGCCACACUGGGACUGAGACACGGCCCAGACUCCUACGGGAGGCAGCAGUGGGGAAUAUUGCACAAUGGGCGCAAGCCUGAUGCAGCAACGCCGCGUGAGGGACGACGGCCUUCGGUU
rnacentral:rRNA from 1 species